UCCGGUUUGUCACCGGCAGUCUCAUUAGAGUGCCCAACUGAAUGUAGCAACUAAUGACAAGGGUUGCGCUCGUUGCGGGACUUAACCCAACAUCUCACGACACGAGCAUGUCAAGCCUGGGUAAGGUUUUUCGCGUUGCGUCGAAUUAAACCACAUGCACCACCGCUUGUGCGGGCCCCCGUCAAUUCCUUUGAGUUUCAACCUUGCGGCCGUACUCCCCAGGCGGGGUACUUACUCCGUUAGGUGCGGCACCGGCGGUAACCCGCCGACACUUAGUACCCAUCGUUUAGGGCGUGGACUAC
rnacentral:misc_RNA from 1 species